rnacentral:rRNA from 1 species
UUAAUUGAAGAGUUUGAUCAUGGCUCAGAUUGAACGCUGGCGGCAGGCUUAACACAUGCAAGUCGAGCGGUAGCACAGGGGAGCUUGCUCCCUGGGUGACGAGCGGCGGACGGGUGAGUAAUGUCUGGGAAACUGCCUGAUGGAGGGGGAUAACUACUGGAAACGGUAGCUAAUACCGCAUAA